AGUGAACGCUGGCGGUAGGCCUAACACAUGCAAGUCGAACGGCAGCACAGUAAGAGCUUGCUCUUACGGGUGGCGAGUGGCGGACGGGUGAGGAAUACAUCGGAAUCUACUUUUUCGUGGGGGAUAACGUAGGGAAACUUACGCUAUUACCGCAUACAACUACCGGGUGAAAGCAGGGGAUCUUGGGCCUUUGGCGGAUUAAUUGAGCCGAUGUCGGAUUAGCUAGUUGGCGGGGUAAAGGCCCACCAAGGCGACGAUCCGUAGCUGGUCUGAGAGGAUGAUCAGCCACACUGGAACUGAGACACGGUCCAGACUCCUACGGGAGGCAGCAGUGGGGAAUAUUGGACAAUGGGCGCAAGCCUGAUCCAGCCAUACCGCGUGGGUGAAGAAGGCCUUCGGGUUGUAAAGCCCUUUUGUUGGGAAAGAAAAGCAGCAGGUUAAUACCCCGCUGUUCUGACGGUACCCAAAGAAUAAGCACCGGCUAACUUCGUG
rnacentral:rRNA from 1 species